GACGUGGGGGGCGAGCGUUGUCCGGAUUUAUUGGGCGUAAAGCGUGCGUAGGCGGCUGCGCAAGUCGGUUGUGAAACCCCGGGGCUCAACCCCGGAACUGCAUCCGAUACUGCGUGGCUAGAGGUAGGUAGGGGAGAUCGGAAUUCCUGGUGUAGCGGUGAAAUGCGCAGAUAUCAGGAGGAACACCGGUGGCGAAGGCGGAUCUCUGGGCCUUAACUGACGCUGAGGAGCGAAAGCAUGGGGAGCGAACAGG
rnacentral:rRNA from 1 species